GCCCGUGUAGCUCAGCUGGUAGAGUAUCUCCAUGGUAAGGAGAAGGUCAUCGGUUCAAAUCCGAUCGCGGGCUCCA
rnacentral:tRNA from 1 species